rnacentral:lncRNA from 1 species
UGCGACAACCCAAAUCAUGCUCUAAAAGUCCCCUAUAUGAAUGCAUAAUAGAGAUACAAUCAGAGAUCAUUACGUUCAAUGAAAAUCAUAAGUGUUGAUGAGAAAAUUAUAACUAUGAAUCCAUGAUACAAUUGCCAAGAAUUCAAUUAACGCGAUUGGUGAGAUGUAGUAUGGCUAGAUGAAUGGAUGGAAUGGAUUUGCACGGCUAAGAGAUGAAAGUGUAUGGAUUGGUGAGAUGUAGUAUGGCUAGAUGAAUGGAUGGAGGUCAUGGCAAGGAAAUUGUGUUUGUGAAUGAAGUUGUGAGAUGUGAAAUGUAGUGUCUUUGGAUGAUGGCCCCCUUUAGGAAGGGGAAUGGUGGAUGUAUUUAUAGGCUAGGGAGAGGAAAUUGUAUGUUGUGGUAAUGAGUGGAUGUAAUGGGUGUAGUGGGUGAGUGUUUCUAGCCUCUUUUGACUUCAAAUUCGUCCAUCCAUCUUGCUCCAUGCAUAAGCUAUCCAAUCUUGGCCAAAAAACUGCUCCAAAUUGCUCCAAAUUGCACUUUCUUGCCAACUUUGCCAUUAGGACCUACAAACACACGAAAAUAGCUUAAAACACUCUUAUAAGCAAUAACUAACUAAGUGCAAGAAAACAUGUUAACUAAGUCGCAUAAAUAUGCUCCUAUCAAAUUCCCCCACACUUAGCUUUUGCUAGUCCUCGAGCAAAAUAAAGAAAACAAAACACAACCUAAACCUUCCAACGUUUGCCUCAGGGAUUUCCAACACACAUGGCAUGUUAAAAAUCAUUAUUCCCACAGAUUUUAGUUAUCUUCACACUUGAGCACAUAUUUAAUCACAGUCACCACUUACUAGUUCACAUUUAACCAAUUAAAACGAUGUUUUGAAUGUAGUAACAUGCCUUAGAGAAUUUGCUCAAUUCCUUACAAGAUACUCUCUAUUUUCACACAUUUUCUGACUACACACCCUACACUAGUUAUAUGUGAGAAGAUUGAUGUAAACAUGAAAAUGAACACUCACAUAUAUGUAUAACAAAGAAAGCAAUUUUCUGGAGUUAUUAAGCAUGUUCAGAUAUGAUCUCAUGAAUGGAAUGCUACUACUUAGAUGCAAGAACCAGUGACACCAUAUGCUCAAACCAAUUCCAAACUCCACAUAUUGAAACGCAUAACACGCAAGAUAAAGUUAAGGGUUGUAACGGGGUUUAAGGGUAAUGGCUAACAAAGAAAGGAUAAGGAUAACAAACGUUCUGAAAGCAAUAGCAAGCAAAGUAAUGAAAUAGACACUUGGAAUUCACUUAAUAAUGCAGAAAUUAACUUUUAAACACAAAUGGAAGAUUCAAGCAACACUUAGGACCGAAUUCAAUGUUUUGGACCCUUUCUUCAACAAACAACACUUUAGAGCUCUUUUUUCACAUAUUUUUCAACUCUUUUUCACUCUUUUCACAACUUUUCUUCUUUUCAUUCUAUUUUCCACGAAUGUUUCUUUUUUUCUUUUUCUUUUCUACCCGU